rnacentral:lncRNA from 1 species
AAAUCUUAUUUAUGAGCUAAAGGUCGAGAGAUAGAACAUUGAGUCAAUCCAAAGGAUGAGUUCAAAAUAUUCCAACAUAUUUUAGUCUCAAACAUUGCAUAUUUGGUUUAGUGACAGAGGAUUAACUAUAUGCUAACCUAAAAUCAUAAACUGAAAAAGUAGGACACUGCAAAUUACAUCAAUCAAAUAUUCAAAUUAAAGCAUAUUAAACAACUCAAAUAAACAACAAAUCAGAAUAUAGCUCAAAUCAUAGUCAUCUUGUACUGCUAUGGACUAACAUGUAAACCCAGACAACUAGAUGCAAAAUCAAAAUCUCAAACAGCCCUUCCAAGGCUUCUACCAGCUGUAAGAAAAUUAAGAUAGAAUAGUGGAAAAUAAACCCGUUGAGCAAAAUCCUUUAAUAAUAACAGAAUGUAGUUAUCAAAUACAAGCUUGAGUUCAAAUCCACUCCAAGAGAAAAACUCGAAAAUCAGGAACUUGAUGGAAACAAAACAUAGCAAAACGUGAGGAGCUCAGCAUCAUGAAUCCGCCAGAAAAUCAGCAACAAAAAAUCAACAAAUUUAGACCUCUAUAGCUUGUGAAAAUCCAGAAAAAGGAAUUCAUCUCUGAAAUCGUAUUUCUUCAAAUCUUUAUCGAAAAAUCCAGUUUUCUUUCUAUUAUUUCUAGCUUUUGAUUUUCAGAUCUUCAGCUAAAAAAACAACAUUGUUUCAACUGGGUUUGGGCGGUAAUUUUCGGCAGUUUGCUUGAGGGGAGUGGCUCAUUUUUGUCCCUCUCGGUUGUUGCUUGUUUUUAGAGCUAAAGUAACAUAUUUUCAUGGCUGAAACGGGCUAGGAUGGAAGAUGAAGAUGGAGAUGGUUGUUUUUCGCUGAGGAAGAGCUAAGCUCUGGAAUGCCGUUGCCAGUUUUUGUCGAGGAGAGGGUCUCUUUCUCUAUUGAAAAUGAGAGAUGGUUAGAGAGAGAGCAGUCCCCUCUCUCUUGAGGUAACGACGCUGUCUCUAUAAAGAUAGAGGGUGGGGUCCGAUUAUUUUUGUUCUAGGUCUUCUGAUCUUAGGUCUAGGGAUUUAAGGAAAAAAAUGGGGAAAGGGAAGAUUGGGCUAGGGUUUAAAAGUUAAUUUGGGCCAUUUUAGGAAUUGGCCCAAUUUUAAAAGAAAUAAGACCAAAAAUAUAUUCUUUCUAUUUUCAUUUUCUUCGUUUGUUUACCAUAAAAAUGGUAACAAUAAUUAAAUUUGUAAAUGGGAUUCUAAAAAUAUGUGAUCUAUUUUUAUGCUAGUUGUUUAGAGCAAUUGAUGCUAAGAAUAUGAAGUUUAUGGCAAAAUACGAGAUAGAAAUGGAGCGAUAACCAAGCCUAAAGUCUUACUGUCCGGGCUUGUUUAACAAGGGGAUACAAGCUAGAACGGGGAGUUAAACGAAUCGAGAAACCUGAUGCCCGAGUGUACGAUUAGUCGAUGAGGGGCCUCGAGGUCGAUGUCCGGCCCGAUCUCGAGUUAUCGGGGUCGAUAUCUGGCUCGAGUUCGAGGUGUCGGGGGUAGUUGGGGAUGGGAUAACAGUUAAGAUAUGAUCAUACAAGGCUCUUUAUGAUCAAUAUCAGGCAAUAAAUGAAGAACAAAUAAGAAAAUGAUAAAAUACUAAAAUGGUCUCGAGCCAGUACGAAUAAGCGAGUAAGAGAGGAGAGAGAGAGA